CCUACGGGGGGCUGCAGUGAGGAAUAUUCCGCAAUGGACGAAAGUCUGACGGAGCGACGCCGCGUGGAUGAUGAAGGCCGGAAGGUUGUAAAAUCCUUUUGUCGGGGAAGAAUAAGCGUGGGAGGGAAUGCCCGCGUGAUGACAUGAACCGGCGAAUAAGCCCCGGCUAACUACGUGCCAGCAGCCGCGGUAACACGUAGGGGGCGAGCGUUGUUCGGAAUUACUGGGCGUAAAGGGCAUGUAGGCGGUCUUGUAAGCCUGACGUGAAAGGCUAUGGCUUAACCAUGGCACUGCGUUGGGAACUGCGAGACUUGAAUCACGGAGGGGGAACUGGAAUUCCAGGUGUAGGGGUGAAAUCUGUAGAUAUCUGGAAGAACACCAGUGGCGAAGGCGAGUUCCUGGCCGAUGAUUGACGCUGAGGUGCGAAAGUGUGGGGAUCAAACAGGAUUAGAUACCCCUGUAGUC
rnacentral:rRNA from 1 species